AUGUAUGUGUGUUAACAUGUAAGGAUGGUGAUGAAGAAGAGACUGUGAAAGAGUCUGUAGCCAUCGAAGUAAGGAGUAAGUUCAUAGACACAAGAAUGAUAAACACCAGUUUGUAGUCAGUUGUACACAAUAGUUGAAAUACUGUAUCAA